rnacentral:tRNA from 1 species
GGGUGGAUGGCUCAGUGUCUAGAGAUUAAGGCUUGUGACCAUAAGACCCCAGGUUCGAACCUUGCCACAAGCA